rnacentral:tRNA from 1 species
GGGUUCGUAGCUCAGCCAGGUAGAGCGUCUGGCUCUUAACCAGAAUGUCGUGGGUCCGAAUCCCACCGAACCCGCCA